rnacentral:rRNA from 1 species
UGGGGAAUCUUGCACAAUGGGGGAAACCCUGAUGCAGCGAUGCCGCGUGAGCGAUGAAGGUUUUCGAAUCGUAAAGCUCUGUCCUAUGGGAAGAUAAUGACGGUACCAUGGGAGGAAGCCCCGGCUAACUACGUGCCAGCAGCCGCGGUAAUACGUAGGGGGCGAGCGUUGUCCGGAAUUACUGGGCGUAAAGGGUUCGCAGGCGGCAUGGCAAGUCCGAUGUAAAAGGCGAAGGCUCAACCUUCGUAAGCAUCGGAAACUGUCAAGCUUGAGUGAAGGAGAGGCAAGUGGAAUUCCUAGUGUAGCGGUGGAAUGCGUAGAUAUUAGGAGGAAUACCGGUGGCGAAGGCGACUUGCUGGACUUCAACUGACGCUGAGGAACGAAAGCGUGGGUAGCAAACAGG